rnacentral:tRNA from 1 species
GAGGGUAUAGCUCAAGUGGUAGAGCGCAUGCUUAGCAUGCACGAGGUCCUGGGUUCAAGCCCCAGUAAACUCC